GCCAGGCGGGACCUGAGGAGACCCCGGGAGACCCCGGGAGCCAGGCGGGACCUGAGGAGACCCGGGAGCCCGGCGGGCCGUGGACACCUCGCAGGCGCGAGCAGGAAGACGGCUGCCAGGCGGCUCACACCCAGCCCACGGUCUCCUGUUGCGUGUCCCACGGACCUGGAGUCCCCGCCCGAGGCCAGCACGUCGCCUCUGCCAGCCUAGCCAGACCUGUCGCCCGCCCCCGGGGAGCCGCGCUUGUCGUCCUGGCUGCAUGGGAUCCCCACUCCUCCGCUCCCAGUGACGGCUGCUGGGGAGAGGAGGCCGCAGGCGUCCCUCCGUGGAUCCACGCAUGACGUUGAGGAGAGCUUGCAAGGAGCUGCGGGGUGUCCGCCUCGACGGGAGCGAACACAGGGCUCCUGGGCGCACAGCCCAGCCUGGCGGCCCUCAUGGAGGAGGGAGGGUGGGCCGGGUUGGGAGACCCAAGUCUGGGCGGUGAGUCUUCCCAAAGGCCUGCCGGGGCCAGGCCCUGACCUCGGAAAGUCGCCCCCAGAGCCUGGGGCUGUGGCAGGUGGAGGUGAGCCGGUCGGUAAGGUGAGGCGGGCGAGCAUGGUGGCCGGAGGCACAGGCAGGGCAGGGAUCCAGCAUGGUGGACUCAACACUCAGGUCUUUCCCUGAGGACGGUUUUAACCAGGGAGUGCUGUUGUAGGGCCUGUGGUCCCCAACCCCCAGGCCAUGGCCCGUUACCCAUCUGGGGCCUGUUAGGAAGAGGGCCAGGCAUCACCACCUGAGCUCUGUGCCACAUGCCCCCACCCAUGACAACCCCCAUCCCCAGUCCAUGGAAAAAUUGUCUUCCAUGAAACCCACCCCUGGUGCCAAAAAGGUUGGGGACUGCUGUUGUAGGGGUUGCUGUGGACAAGUGUGGUGAGUGGACCACACCAGCCUAGAAAGGACUCGGGAGGCAAGGUGGGAGCUUGGACCAGGGCCCAGCCCCCAGGAGCGGGUGGGACAGGGCAAAGGAGACGCCAGGUUGUGGCCUAAUUGGCCAGAGACAGGGGCAGUGGAGCAGCAGCAGGUUGUGUGGGUGACACACUUAGCUGCCUAUGUGGCUUGGAGUUUGGGAGCGAGAGCCCUGUGGGCACAGAGACAGGGUAGCUUGGGCUCAGAGCCUGCUUCAGGUCUCCUGUCAUUUACAGAAACGAAGAAAAGCACACAAACAUGGAUUCGUGAAUUCCUCUCCAGUUAAUUUUGUUAUCAACAAAUAUAUAAAGGUCUUUACAAAGAAGUAACCUAUACAUUUUCUGUGCAAAAAUUAAUGGCCUUUUAUUUCCAGGGAAAUCUUUUGGAAAAAAAUAUUAAAAUAAUGGCCAAACAUUCAAAUUAUGCCCAAAAAGUACAUUUUAAUUCUGUUCAAAAUGAAAUUUUAAUGAGAAGGCUGAUAUUAUUUAUCUUGAGGAAGAACUUAUCAUGACACAGGCAGCUUCUGUGUCUGGCUGUGAGGUAUAGGUGGCUGAGGCCUCUCACCUUCAACAGUGGGAAAUCUGGCAAAAUAUCUCAAACAGCAGUUCGCAGACAUUGGACAACAGACAGCACAAGACUGCAACCUCCAAGAAGGAAAGCAGAUGUGAUGAAAACUAUAAAGCCCCUGGAUCUAAUAACUCAGCAGUCCCCAAGAAAAAGUGGCUGAGUCCAGCCUGGCGCAGGAAAUGUGUACCAAGGAAAAAUGAUGAAAAGGCUCCAUUGACCAAAGAAUGAUGACUGAAGUGGAACUGAAACACAUUAAAUAUAUGAUAAUUUAUGAGUACAUAAUGAUAUGUACUCAUUUGACAUUAAAAAGCCAAAAAAAAAAAAAAACCUAAAGUCAAAACAAAAAGCAAACAAACAUUCAUCUGCCACCACCAGAGAUGACCCAGGGCACAGACCUUUCACCCUGAAAAUUGGUAAUUAAAGAGAAAGACUCAAGCACUUACCCUGCCUUUCCCUCGGGAACUACAGACACAUCUCAGAGACGUUUCAGAUCCGAGUCAAGCCAGCUUCCAGCCACUCCGACAAAGCAAGUCGCAGGGGUCUCCCUGUGCAUAUGAGAGCUACAUUUACACUGUACUGAAGUGUGUUGUGUGUGCAAUAGCGUUACGUCUGGAAAGCAAUCUAUACACCUUAAUUUAAAAAUACUUUAUUGCUAGAGAUGCUGAAGAUCACCUGAGCCUUCGGCAGCCUUUGGGUGCAGGGUCCUGGCUCGACAAUGACACUGCUGACCAGUUAGGUGGCUGAGGGCUGGGGUAGCUGUGACAAUUUCUUAAAAUAAGACAACAAUGAAGUUUGCUACAUUGAUUGACUUUCACGAAGGAUUUGUCUGUAGCAUGCGAUGCUGUUUCACAGCAUUUUCCUCCCAGUAGAACUUAUUUCAGAAUUGAAUUUGAUCCUCUUAAACCUGCCGCUGCUUUACCAACUGUGUGGAAUAUUCUAAGUCCUCGGUUGUCAUUUCAACAGUGCUCACAGCGUCCUCACCAGGAGUCGAUUCCAUCUCAAGAAACCACUUUCUCUGCUCAUCCAUAUGAAGGAACUCCUCAUCCGCUCAGGUUUUAUCAUGAGAUGGCAGGAAUUCAGUCCCAUCCUCAGGCUCCACUUCUGACGCCAGUUCCCUUGCGGUUUCUAGCACACCUGUAGCGCCUUCCUCCCCUGAAGGCUGGGACCUCUCAGUCAUCCAUGAGGGUUGGAAUGCACUUCUUCCAAACCCCUGUUAAUGUUGAUAGGGUUACCUCUUCCCAUGAAUCAUGAAUGUUUU